rnacentral:rRNA from 1 species
AGUGUAGGCGGCUUCGUAAGUCGGAUGUGAAAGCCCUGGGCUUAACCUGGGAAUGGCAUUCGAAACUGCGCGGCUAGAGUCUGAUAGAGGGAAGUGGAAUUCCAGGUGUAGCGGUGAAAUGCGUAGAGAUCUGGAGGAACACCAGUGGCGAAGGCGGCUUCCUGGAUCAAGACUGACGCUGAGGCUCGAAAGCGUGGGGAGCAAACAGGAUUAGAUACCCUGGUAGUCC